AUUGAACGCUGGCGGCAGGCCUAACACAUGCAAGUCGAGCGGAUGAAGGGAGCUUGCUCCUGGAUUCAGCGGCGGACGGGUGAGUAAUGCCUAGGAAUCUGCCUGGUAGUGGGGGAUAACGUCCGGAAACGGGCGCUAAUACCGCAUACGUCCUGAGGUAGAAAGUGGGGGAUCUUCGGACCUCACGCUAUCAGAUGAGCCUAGGUCGGAUUAGCUAGUUGGUGGGGUAAAGGCCUACCAAGGCGACGAUCCGUAACUGGUCUGAGAGGAUGAUCAGUCACACUGGAACUGAGACACGGUCCAGACUCCUACGGGAGGCAGCAGUGGGGAAUAUUGGACAAUGGGCGAAAGCCUGACGCAGCAAUGCCGCGUGUGUGAAGAAGGUCUUCGGAUUGUAAAGCACUUUAAGUAGGGAGGAAGAGAAGUAUGUGAAUCCCUUGCUGUCUUGACGUUACCAAAAGAAUAAGCAACGGCUAACUUCGUG
rnacentral:rRNA from 1 species